rnacentral:rRNA from 1 species
GACGAACGCUGGCGGCGUGCUUAACACAUGCAAGUCGAGCGGUAAGGCCCCUUCGGGGGUACACGAGCGGCGAACGGGUGAGUAACACGUGGGUGACCUGCCCUCAGCUCUGGGAUAAGCCUGGGAAACUGGGUCUAAUACCGGAUAUGACUCCAUGACGCAUGUCGUGGGGUGGAAAGCCUUGUGCGGCUGGGGAUGGGCCCGCGGCCUAUCAGCUUGUUGGUGGGGUGAUGGCCUACCAAGGCGACGACGGGUAGCCGGCCUGAGAGGGCGACCGGCCACACUGGGACUGAGACACGGCCCAGACUCCUACGGGAGGCAGCAGUGGGGAAUCUUGCGCAAUGGGCGAAGGCCUGACGCAGCGACGCCGCGUGAGGGAUGACGGCCU